rnacentral:rRNA from 1 species
AACGAACGCUGGCGGCAGGCUUAACACAUGCAAGUCGAACGAGAUCUUCGGAUCUAGUGGCAGACGGGUGAGGAACACGUGGGAACAUCCCUUUCAGUUCGGAAUAACGUUGGGAAACUAACGCUAAUACCGGAUACGUCCUUCGGGAGAAAGAUUUAUCGCUGAAAGAUUGGCCCGCGUCUGAUUAGCUAGUUGGUGAGGUAAUGGCGCACCAAGGCUACGAUCAGUAGCUGAUCUGAGAGGAUGAUCAGCCACAUUGGGACUGAGACACGGCCCAAACUCCUACGGGAGGCAGCAGUGGGGAAUAUUGGACAAUGGGCGCAAGCCUGAUCCAGCCAUGCCGCGUGAGUGAUGAAGGCCUUCGGGUUGUAAAGCUCUUUAUCCGGGAAGAUAAUGACUGUACCGGAAGAAUAAGCCCCGGCAAACUUCGUGCCAGCAGCCGCAGUAAAAC